CCAUGGUCAAAUCCUUUGCCAGCUAAUUCAUGACAUGAAUUUAGGCUAACAUAGGUGUCACUUCAUGAACCUACAAUCUUAUGCAGAGAUAUGCAAACCUGCCAUAAUGGUGGUGGAAGCUUGGGAAUCUCUCGUGUCAUCACUUAUUAGGUCAUGGUGCUUGGUUGAUCGAUUUUUGAGAAUCACACAUUUUGUUGAAUGCAGUAGACCCUUGAUCUAUUAUAUGUUGCUGAACUUUAUAUUAGUGAAAUUGUGUGCCCACAUGGUAUUCCAAAGACAACUCCUUAUGUUGUGUAGUGAAUGCAUCUUUUAAGUCCUUUGGAUCUUACACCAUUAUCCACCACUAAUAUGGAGAAAGAGCUAAGACAAUCAGUAAGUUACAUGAGGAAGUGAGGAAGAGAAGUCCGAAGCAAAAUGUCAAAUAUCCCAAUCAAGGCAAAAAAUAAAUAAAUAAAUAGAAAAGCCUGCUGUUUUUAAAGAAGGUGAUCUUGUAUUGAUUCAUUUGAGAAGAGUGCUUUCCACCUAGUCGUGGUGCGACGGACAGUUCUUUUCUAGUUUUGGAACACAUCGAUAAUAAUACCUGGAAAAGUGAGCUUUGUGGAGGGAAUGGUGUUUUCACUAGUUUCAAUGUUGUUGAUCUAUCACUAUGAAGUUGGCCUCGAGGAGGAGUCUUUUCAAGAUUUCAAGAUUCUCUCUUGUGAAUAGAAUAAUAGGGAUAAAAUAUAUUUCUUGAUCAGUGAGCCUAUUUUAUACUUUUUAGUAUUGUUUUAGUCUCGAUUACAAUGUGAUAAUAUAGUAGCUUGUUUGAAUUUUGUACUUCGAGACUUGGAGGUUACUCAAAGGUACGGUCGGCUCCUACUUAUAAGUGCCCUCUCGGUGUCUCAUGGUAAACACAAUUAAUCUAUUAAAAGAAGUUUCAUUCUAUCUUUUCUUUGUCUUUCUCUCUGCCCUUUUAGGGGAUUCAUGAGUGAACGAGAGAGUGCUGCAUCCUUGGACUGGCCUACAAAGGCGGUGAUUUGGCCAAGGGAGACCUAGUGUAUGUUGUCUCUUUCCUAUCCUCCAUAGUGGGGUUUUUCCACUUCAUUAAGAUUGAAAAACCCCUUCUAUUUAUUUGUUCGCUCAACACAUUCCGGCGUCAAUGUGGCCGACAAGCAUGACAGCAAACUUUGAAAGUCCACGAAGUUUGUCUCUUUUGAGGCAUAGGAAGAGAAAACUAAAAGAGUAUGCACAAGAUUUGAAAAAAAUUGAUAUCUGAAAAAUUGAGCAAAACCACUAAAUUAGAAAUAUUUAAUGGAAAGAAAUUGUUGGUAAACACACAAUACACAAACAUAGAAUGUAUGUAGGAUAUUUCAAGAUUAAAAUUUGCAAUAAGAAAUUUGUUAUGAGAUAGAAAAGAUUAAAAUUUAGAUUGUGAAACAUGUGAGAGAUAAAAUAAAUUAACAGUUUCCGCACCUCUCAACGAAUACAAUAUUUGUAAAAUAAGUAAUCGAGACAUUUUGGGGAAGGAAUUAAAUUGAAAUUUCUGCGGAAGGUCACCUUUACUUUGUACAGUAGUAUUUAUAUGAAUAUAAAUAUAAUACAUAUAUACAUAACUUAAGAUUAGAUUUAAGUUUAAAUAUAUUUAAAUUAGCAAAGUGAGCCUCUUGCUUCUCUUUAGAAAGCCCUAUUAGUCAUGCGUGAAAGCCAUUACGCGCUACCAGCGUCCUAGAUGUGGUGUGCUAGCACGUCUACAAAGUAAGACUCUUCCAUAGAAUUGUACUCCACGAGCUUUUAUUUAAAAUAGCGGGAGAAGGAAUGGCUGGUCAAUCUAUCUCCCCGAAGAGUCACUUUUCGUCCUGCGAUUUCUUACCUAGGAAUAAAUGGAGUAAGGGCGCAACCAAAUGGCCCGAUUGAAAGGAAUGGAGGGGAACGUGUUACACACUUGGAAGGAGAAGGAGAAACUCCCAGUUAUAUUUGAAAAUGAAUAUUUUACCCAUAAAGAUGAAGAUAACUUUCUUGGAGUUCUGCUUAUUCCUCCUCCUAAAAAUAAAGAAGUACUUGCCAAAAAUCUAUGGUUAGGUCGGCACAAUAAAAAGAGAUGGGACUUUUGGAGCUGACUUACAGUAAAGACUCAACUCCUUUAAAGAUCCUUUACUACACGAUUUCUACAUAUCUAUUUUAAUUAUCGACUGCAUUCUAUUAUAGAAACAACAACGGGAGGUUCAAUCAAAAGUACUUAGCGUGCAUUCGCUUCAAUGUUAAAGCAAAUAAGCAAGAAAAAUCUCAUUCUAUUUUCGUAUGCAAUUUCGAAAAGAAUCUAGUAAGCUCUUCUCUUAUAUAAAAUAUAUAAUCUUUGAUAGCAUUUUUAGUAUCUAUCAUUUCAAAGGCAAAAAAUUGAAUACUUAGGCAGUUCAUGUUUAUUAAAAUACUAAGCACAUUCACCAUUCAAUUGUUAAAUUAUGUCACCAAUAAGUUCUUCUUCCAAUUUUCGGUAUUAAAGUUACUGACCGUAUAAGUCCAUCUUUCUUAUAAUUUCGGUACUUCUAACAUUUGAAAAUGAGAUUGAAUUUUUUUAGCAAGUAUCUUUUGUUCAAAUCGACAAUAAAAUUCACAUAGAAAAGUGUUUAAUACUCCCCCAAAAUGGGAAGAACUUAAUCAAAUAUAAACAAUUUAAUAGAUGCAGAUGUUUCUUAAGCACAAUUAACGAGCAUCAUCAGAGUUAGUAAUUGUUGCAUCCAAAGUUUUCAAUAAGACAUAUACAUAUAUAUAGUCAUAAUCAUAUGUAUACAUAUAUAGAUAUGUAAGAGAUAAGUAAGGAAAAUUAAUUUGAAUGCGCACCUUAAAUUGGCCCACCACGACUUGAAUGUUGCUUUUGCACAGAUCAAGUCUGACUAACUUCUUUGGGCCAGGGGGAAAUUUGAGAACCGAAAAAGGACAUUCAGGCCAUUGAAACCAUCUCAGUUCAUUAGGAAGAUAGAUGGGACCCUGGAAAGAGUUAUGCACAUUAAUCAUGAUGAGCAACCUCAAUCUUUUCAUGUUUGUGAAAGCAUUGGGAUCUAUGUAUAUUGCUUCUGUCUUGGGUAAAACCAAAACUAUGGCUUUUAUUGCAUUUGUUCCCUGCAUUUAUAGAACUUGCAUUGCAAUUAGUAUAUGAAGUCAGAGAAGAAGAGAGGCAAAUUAGUGUUUAAACCACCAAAACUUACCAUAUCCCCUGAUAGAACAUCACAGACAUCUUCACAAAGCCAUAACUUGCUGCGCCUCCCAGGAUCAUCGUGACAUUCUUGUUUAACAAUAUCCAUGCCCAUCAACUGAAUCAAGUCAUGCAUCUGUAUCGUCCCCCUUCCUUCAGUUAUUAAGGACUUCUCAACAAGAACUCGCACUCCAAUAGUCGUGUCAAAGUCGCAACUGUUAAGGACUUCCAUAAUGUGCUCUAUAGAUCGCCCCUUGAAGAAACAUGCAAUAUCAAGGAAUAUCUCCUUUGCAUAGUCCUCUAGUCCAUCGUAACUUAACUUGAGAACAUCAUUUAUGGUUUUGUCAGGACUUUUAGCAAGUUUAUUCAAUGCGCUUUCCCACUCCUGUUCUCUUCUACCACAUAAGAAAGAGCCCAAUACCUCAAGUGCUAAAGGAAGUCCUUUAGCAUAAUGCAAAGCACUAUCCAAAAGAUCCCUCCUUAUCACUAUUUCCUUACUUCCAAGAAAAGCAUGUUUAUUGAAAAGUUCAAGAGCUUCCCAAUACACUAGAGUUUUAACUUCAUAGAUAUGAUCUUCAUCUAUCCCAUGGACAGUUAAUAGAUGGUAUCUCUGUCGUGAUGNNNNNNNNNNNNNNNNNNNNNNNNNNNNNNNNNNNNNNNNNNNNNNNNNNNNNNNNNNNNNNNNNNNNNNNNNNNNNNNNNNNNNNNNNNNNNNNNNNNNGUUUUACGUUAUCGACAUCGUCGAGAACAAUGAGGACUCUUUUGCGGCAAAGUCUAUGUCGCAUCAAAUUAAUACCUCCAUCAACACUAAACAUUGUUAAUUCUUUUCCCACUAAUAUCUCGGACAACAAUUUUUCUUGCAAAUGAACUAAAUCCUUGGAAUCUUUUGAAGUUUCACGAACGUUUGCCAAAAAACAUGAAGCCUCAAAUCCUUUGAAUAUAUCAUUGUAAAGGGCUUUGGCUAAUGUUGUUUUUCCUAUGCCUCCUUGUCCCCAUAAUCCUAUCAUGAGAACAUCAUCACUAGAUGCAAGAUUUAACAUAGAUUUCAGCUUUACCACUUGUCGAGGUAUUCCAACCGGAUGCUUGGCAACCUGUAAUGGUGUUCGGUCUAGCUGCAUAGAGAUCCCCUGCACAAUUCUCUUGAUAAGAUCUGCUUCAUCUCUGACAAAAUCCAGAAAGGUACUUGAUACAUCAAUUUCCAAAGAUAAUUGACUUUCAUGGAAAAAGAAGAAGAGAUUCAGCAUAUAAAAAAGAAAUAACAAAGCAGUGUCACAUCAAUCACUACUUGAUACUUACUUAUCCUUCAAAUCCCACCCGGACAAGCUACCGGCAUCAAAGAGAGCCUUUUUCCAUCUCUUCACUUUCUCCGAAUCUCUCCCAAACUUUCUCUCAUGCUUAUCCAUAGCUUUUCGGUAGCUCUCUCUUGGUGUUCUCACUUCUCUAGGAUCCACUUUGUAAAACACCGGAAAUACCUUGAGUCCUCUUUGCUCCUUGCACUCCAUGAUUUUCUCCACCUCUUCCAAACACCAUAGUGAGGAAGCAUAGUCCUCGGAGAAAAUGAUGAUUGCGAUGCGCGAGUCCUGAAUCGCCUUAAUAAGCGCCGGUGUUAUUCGUUCACCUUUCCGAAGCUCCUCGCUAUCAACGUAAGUGUAGAUUCCUUUCUGGUCAAGAGCCGCAUAGAGAUGACCAAGGAAGUUCUUUCGAACGUCAGUACCUCGAAAACUCAAGAAGGCAUCGUAAUUCUGUUCCAGAUUUGAAGAAGCGGCCUUUAGAGGAGAUGAAGGUUGAUGUGCUUCCUCAGAAUGCUUAGUGUCUGGUCGGGUUGCAACUUUCUCUCUCAUGUGGAUAUCAAUUUGUACUAACAAAGAAAUAGAAACCAAAACUAAGAUCAUUUCUGAUGCUUCGAGUCGAUAUGCAUAGUCUCCAACAGCUAAUUUAACAAAAAGCAGCAUUUUGCAUAAGGUGCACAGAACUGUCUUAUAUAAGUGCUUCUUCACUUGACUUGCCUUUUCCAUUAAUUAAAAAAAUAGAAAAGAAAACUAGCAACACUCCCAUGCUCCUGGUGCUAAUAUACAUGAGUCAAUCGCAAAACACUGCCUGUUGGAAUAUUAUUUAUAAUGAACAAUCUGACUUUUUUCUUUCAAAAGGGAUUCUACAAAAGCAAAUCCCAAAAUAAAUUUUCCUCACUUUUCAAACUAAAUUUCUCCAUCCCAUGUCUUGUAUUGAACAGAACGAAUUCGAAUCUGUCCAGGCAUUUCUUCAAACACGAAGUGGGCAGCGAGUUGGAGAGAGAAUAUGGACCUAUUCGGAGCUCGAGCUCACACUUAAACUCAAGAGAAAUCAGCGAGCAACGUUCAAACUUAAGAAAAACCGACUCAUUCAGAUCCGACGCAAGUGAGGACUAAAGAAAUUNNNNNNNNNNNNNNNNNNNNNNNNNNNNNNNNNNNNNNNNNNNNNNNNNNNNNNNNNNNNNNNNNNNNNNNNNNNNNNNNNNNNNNNNNNNNNNNNNNNNAGCUUGCUUUGCUCUUUCAAAAUCAAGCAGGACGAGGCAAAAAAGAAGAAGAAGGAACGAGAACUCAAUCGCGGGGGCCCUACCUGGCUUGGCUUCCCCGGGCAUCGUUGGCGGCGAAGGUUGAGAAUAGCGACUCCAAACUCGUGUCAGGGCUUCAGUCGACUCCACCGAGGUCAGGGACGGCGACGACGAAUGGCAGCGGGCGGACGGAUGCUCUGGAGGUGGCGGACGACGUAGAUCGGCUGUGGCUCUGAGGUUUUGUGUGGGGCUUCAAUGGCAACCGUUCACGUAGUAGAGAAAGACCUAGAUGCUUCUUUCUUUUUCUUCUCCUUUUUCGUGAGAGUAAAGAAGUAGGUGACAGCGAAGGAAGGAGUUAGGGAGGAAUUCGGGAAUGGGAUGCGAGAGCAGUCGCGGGCGGGAGGUAGUCGGACGGAGAGGGAGGAGGCGGCUGGUCGGUUGAGUUCAGGAGAAAGGGUGGAGAAUGCUUUUUUUUUUCUUUUCCAGAAAAAUGCUGCCUGAAGAUGGUGGUAGAGGAGAUGAAUGUCGAUGUGCUUCCGUAGAAUGCUUAUAUAUUCGAAGAAGCGGCUAUUACUGUCUGGUUAGGUUGCAGCUUUAUCUCUCCCGUGUAUAUCACUUUGUUCUUUUUAACCCUGACUUUCUCGAAUCACGCGGCAGUGCUAACCAAAGAAAGCCACAGAAAAGAAAGUAAAGGUAAAUUGUUGCACGCGUAAUUUCAACGGAAGGUGCAUAAAAUUUACGCUGGUCCUUUCUUUCUUUUCCUCUGUUGACUUGACUUGCUUUUUCUACUAAUAAAGAAAUUGAAACGAAAACCAACGAGCAAUUUGAUGCCCCGAGCCAGCAUAUUAUACACCAGUUAAUUUAAUAAAAAUCAGAUAGCAAUAGAAAAUAAAAUAGAAGGACAAUCAGCGCACAAAUAAUAUCUGUGGGAGGUGCAUAAAAUUUAUGUCGUAUUCUUUUCUUUUUUCUUUUAGUUUUCCUUUCUUGUCUUGGCUUGCUUUCUCCACUAAUAAAAAAAUAAAAACGAAAAUCAACCGAUAAUUCUGAUGGUUGCAUACUCUCGACCAUUGACCGAACUAAUUUAAUAAAAAGUAAAUAGCGAAAGAAAAGAAAAUGAAAGGACAAUCAAUGCAUGCGUAAUUUCCAUUGCAUUUUGUAAAAGAUGCUUGUAACAUGGUUCUUGACUUGACUUGCCUUUCUCAUUAACAAAAGAAAUAGAAAAGAAAACUAGGAAUACUCCCAUGCCCCUGACAUGCACAUGUAAGGUGCGUAUGACAAAAUUUCUGGAAUAUAAAUUGAUUUAUUGCCAGAAAUUGAUAUCUUAAUUUCUAUUUCAGAAAUUAAGAAGUUAAAAAUUUUAGCUUCUAAUUUCUUCUUUUAAAUUUAUUUCUAUAAUAGAAAUCUGUAGAUCAAAUUGCGUUACCAAACGGAUUUCUAUUCCAAACAUGUUUCGCGGAACAGAAAAACUGAGAAAUAGAAAAGUAGAAAUUUUAUUAUGUGCGCCUGUAAUUUCCAUGAAAGGUACAUAAAAUUUACAAGUGUCCUUCCUUUCUUUUCCUCUGUUAACUUGACUUGCUUUUUCUACUAAUAAAUAAAUAGAAGCGAAAACCAAUGAACAAUUCUGAUGCUCCAAGUCAGUAAAGCAUAUUCUCCACCAAUUAAUUUAAUAAAAAACAGAUAGCAAGAGAAAAUAAAAUAGAAGGACAGUCAAUGCACAAAUAAUAUAUGUGGGAGGUGCAUAAAAUUUAUGUCGUAUUCUUUUUCUUUUUUCUUUUUUCUUUUUUCUUUGUUUUCCUUUCUUGUCUUGACUUGCUUUCUCUACUAAUAAAAAAAUAGAAACGAAAAUCAACCGAUAAUUCUAAUGGUCGCAUACUCUUGAUCGGCGACCGAACUAAUUUAAUAAAAAGCAGAUAGCAAUAGAAAAGAAAAUGAAAGGACAAUCAAUGCAUGCGUAAUUUCCACGGCAUUUUGUAAAAGGUGCGUGUAACCUGGUUCUUGACUUGACUUGCCUUUUUCAUUAAUAAAAGAAAUAGAAAAGAAAACUAGGAAUACUCCCAUGCCCCUGAUAUGCCGACGUAGGGUGCGCAUGACAAAAUUUAUGGAAUAGAAAUUGAUUUUUGGUCAGAAAUUGAUUUCUCAAUUUCUAUUUCAGAAAUUAAGAAGUUAAAAAUUUUAGCUUCUGAUUUUAUUUCGAAUCUAUUUCUGAAAAAAGAAAUCUGUUCUAGAAAUAAAAAAUCAAAUUGCGUUAUCAAACAGAUUUCUAUUUCAAACCUGUUCUGGGGAAUAGAGAAAUUGAGAAGUAGAAAUUUUAUCAUGUGCGCCCGUAAUUUCCACUGAAGGUGCAUAAAAUUUACGCGUGUCCUUUCUUUCAUUUCCUCUGUUGACUUGACUUACUUUUUCUACUGAUAAAGAAAUUGAAACGAAAACCAACGAGCAAUUUGAUGCUCCAAGUCAGUAAAGCAUAUUAUCCACCAGUUAAUUUAAUUAAAAAAAACAUAUAGCAAUAGAAAAUAAAAUAGGACAAUCAACGCACAAAUAAUAUCUGUGGGAGGUGCAUAAAAUUUAUGUCGUAUCCUUAUUUUUUUUCUUUUAGUUUUCCUUUCUUGUCUUGACUUGCUUUCUCUAAUAAUAAAAAAAUAGAGACGAAAAUCAACCGAUAAGUCUAAUGGUCGCAUACUCUCGACCUUCGACCGAACUAAUUUAAUAAAAAGCAUAUAGUGAUAGAAAAGAAAAUGAAAGGACAAUCAAUUCAUGCAUAAUUUCCACAGCAUUUUGUAGAAGGUGCGUGUAACCUGGUUCUUGAUUUGACUUGCUUUUUUCAUUAAUAAAAGAAAUAGAAAAUAAAACUAGGAAUACUCCCAUGCCCCUGGCAUGCGCACCUUGACAAAAUUUCUGAAAUAAAAAUUGAUUUCUGACCAUAAAUUGAUUUCUCAAUUUCUAUUUCAGAAAUUAAAAAGUUAAAAAUUUUAGUUUUUGAUUUAUUCUUCAAAUCUAUUUCUAGAAAAGAAAUCUGUUCCAGAAAUAGAAAAAUCAAAUUGCGUUACCAAACGAAUUUUUGUUUCAAACCUGUUUCGGAAAAUAAAGAAAUAGAGAAAUAGAAAUUUUAUUAUGUGCGCUCAUAAUUUCCACGGAAGAUGCAUAAAAUUUAUGCGUCCUUUCUUUCUUUUUCUCUGUUGACUUAACUUGCUUUUUCAACCAAUAAAGAAAUAGAAACAAAAACCAAUGAGCAAUUUGAUGCUCCGAGCCCGUAAAGCAUAUUAUCCACAAGUUAAUUUAAUAAAAAGCAGAUAGCAAUAGAAAAUAAAAUAGAAGGACAAUCAACACACAAAUAAUAUCUGUGGGAGGUGCAUAAAUUUUAUGUCGUAUCCUUUUUUUUUCUUUUAGUUUUCCUUUCUUGUCUUGACUUGCUUUCUCUACUAAUAAAAAAAUAGAAACGAAAAUCAACCGAUAAUUCCGAUGGUCGCAUACUCUCAACCAUUGACGGAACUAAUUUAAUAAAAAGUAGAUAGCAAUAGAAAAGAAAAUGAAAGGACAAUCGAUGCAUGCAUAAUUUCCACGGCAUUUUGUAGAAGAUGCGUAUAAUGUGGUUCUUGACUUGACUUGCAUUUUCUAUUAAUAAAAGAAAUAGAAAAGAAAACUAGCAAUACUCGCAUGCCCCUGGCAUCCACACGUAAUUUCCACAGCAUUUUGUAGUAGGUGAGUGGAACUUUGUCCUUGACUUGACUUGCCUUUUUCAUUAAUAAAAGAAAUAGAAAAGAAAACUAGCAAUACUCCCACGCCCCUGGCAUGCACAGGUAAUUUCCACAGCAUUUUGUAGAAGGUGUGUGGAAUAUGCUCCUUGACUUGACUUGCCUUUUUUAUUAAUAAAAGAAAUAGAAAAGAAAACUAGCAAUACUCCCAUUCCCCUAGCAUCAAUAUACGAGGGUCAAUCGCAAAAAUAUAGCAUGUUGGAUUAUUAUUUAUAAUGAACAAUUUGACUUAUUUUUUCUCUCGGAAGCAAUUCUAGACAAGCAAACCCUAAAACAAGUUUUCCCCACUUUUCCCCCACUUUUCAAACUAAAUUUCUCCAUAUCAUAUCUUGCCUAAAGAUUAUCGAGUCAUCCCCUUUAGCCAAAUCACGUUGAUCUAACUCUUUAAAUUAUUUUUGUUUUCGACAAUUUACAUUUGUUUUAUACUUUUAAUGUCACAUUUAGAAUUUAUUGGCUAAUAAGUUAUCCAUGAUCGAAUAACUAUUUAGGGAAUACUUUUUUCCUUUCUAUUUCAUUUUUGUCGAACCUUUUUUUUUUUUGGUAAAAAAAAAAAAUUGGUAAGAAAUUUUACUCUAACCUUUUAUUUCAUGUUAACACUCUUUUUUUUCCUAACUUCUCAGUAAAGAUAAUCACUUAUUCAUCUGAAGGUGUUUGUCAUUAGUGAUCAAAUAUUGUGAACCAACUAUAUUACAAUAUCGGCUUUAUCUUCUAGUAAAAGCUGGAGCCUUACGACUUUGAAUAGCAAUGACAUACAAAGGAUUCGUGGAAUGGGAGCUUUUGCUUCGAUGUCUCAAUUAUAUUAUUUAGUGCAUGUACAGCUACCUUUCGGCGACGUUCUCAUGCAGGAGCUUUUGGACACUUCUUGCCGAUAAAAGGAUUGCAAAAGGUUGAGAUUUUUAUUUUGCAUGGGUUAUAGUAUGACUGGUGGAUGAUGUUGAGAGAACUUGCAAUCUAGGGGUGAUUUUGAGUGUUUUUUUUCUCCUUUCAUAUCAAAUGAGAAUUACUAAAUCCUUUUAUAUAAAGUUUGUGCGCUCUCUCUAGGCUUGAAUUGCUGAAUUCAUUUGGUUCUAUCACGGUAUUUUGGUACUCUGUGGAGGGCUUUAUGGAGAGUUGACAUGUGGCUCAUUUGAUGGCCACCUCACUUUCGUUUGCUUUAAUUUAUUCAUCCUUCUUUUUCUCUUCAUUUCCAAGAAGAGCUUAUUAACAAUAAAGAGUAUUUUGUCUAAACAUGGAUGAUGUGUACCAAGGUACCGUGGCACCGGGAACAACAAGCAAAUGUCGCUUGCGUGAUUUUGGUGGUUAAAAUUCGCAUGAUUAUUUGGUAUUCCUUUCAUGAUUCGCUUACUAGAGAUAUAUUAGUAUACAAUGGGAAUGAAGAUAUCCAAAUUCAGAGUGCAUUGAGAGGAUAGCUUUGACAUGCAAAUUAUUUUAAAUAUUUUUCACAAGAUGUAUUGUUUAUGCAAGUAUGAAGAUACUAGUGCUGAUAUGAGAAAUGUGUUUUGAUUUGAGUAGGUCUUCACCAAUAAUUGGUACGUUGUAUUUUUCUUUAUGCACUAGACAUUCCAGUUACAAAUUGGAUAAGUAUUACCUUUUCCUUUCAUUGCUGGGGCAUGAAAAUAGACCAAGCCUUUCAUUUAGUUAAAAGUGACGCUAUUGGUUCAAUGUAUAAAUUCAAAGAAAGUAGAAAGUUUCUACAAGAACACCUGUAAAUGAUUUCUUGGUACGCUAAUAGCUUAGUUUUUGAUACUUUGGAGAAGGAUCUUCCACUCGAGUAAGGCCCUUUUCAUUGGACACUUAGCGAUGAUAAUCCCAGGCAAAUCAAAGUGCAAGUCCUUUUCGAAAACAUUAGAUACUUUGGACGAGAGAUCCUAAGAAAGAUUCUAUCUAAGUGUUCCAUUUAAAUUAUUUAGUCCAAAAGAGGAUUUCCGUGUUAAUCAAGCGCACUAAUUACGCCAAUCAUUAUGAAAUUAAUGUGAUUUGACGAUAUCUCUUAUUGUCUUUUUUGCUUAGUCAAAAGUGCAGGGGAAUAUUUGCUCAUCACUUUCGUGGUAGCUUCACUUCUUGCGACUUUACUCUGGAAAGAAAAAUGAUCAAAGUUGAUUUUGAUGCUUAUAUCUGGAGUAAAUCCAAGGAUAGAGUGAGUCUAGUGAUAGAUUUUCAUUGCAUUCUGUUACAAAAAUGCUCAUAUUCCAACCCUUGAAAAUAUCACAUGCUCACGAGCUAAUGAACAUUCGAACCACUAUGAGCUCAGAGAUUUAUUUUAUAUUAAUAUAGUCACUUCAAGCUAUUAUUAAAGUAAUACUUACUCUAGGCUUUCUCUUUAAAAAAACAACCUCAUUCAAGCUGUUAUUUGGAAUUUUCAUUUAUUAGUUUUGAAAGAUGCCUCAUGUUUCGGACUAAGAUGACUUAUAAAGCUGCAAGCCUACAAUAAGCCAUGAUUUUGAUUGAAUAUUUUUAUCCAAAUUCUUUGGCUAACUUUCUAAAAAUAAGCCCCAAUACCAGUGUCACUUCUUUGGCCCCAAUAUAAUCAACUCGGCCUAUUUCAUUUUCAGGAAUUCAUCUACUUCACCAGUUCACCAGUUCACCAGUUCGAACUGCAUGAUCACAAUUUGUUCGCUCGCACAUGCUUAAAAGUCAUUAGUUCCAAGAACUAAUUUCACAAGCCACACUAGCAAUCACCUAUCAACCCAAUUUCCUUCAAUUUGGUAUUGACAUUUCCAAAGUGCGAAAUAGCUUUUAUCAAAUCAUUAGAUUAUUUUCUUUAGUGGAAAAUCGUGAACAUAAGUGAUAAACAAGUUAAAUAUUACUCAAAUUGACAUUAAGCGCCAUUUAAAAUGAGAUGUCGUAAAAAUGGGAAUCAAAAUGUGUCCCCAAACAUUACUUUGAAUGAUUUUACUUCAGAAUAACGUUUACUUAUUAACCUAUUUUUACUUGUAUAGGCACAUACUUGGACCUCGAUUCAUAUUUAAUGAAAUCUAAGUGUGUAAUACGUGCAUGGACUUUUUGACAUCAUACGUGGACCUCGAUUCAUAUUUGCAUUAAUUCGGUCCUCAUGAUAUCUUUUUGCUCCUUUUCUUUUCUUUUCUUUUCUUUUUUUUUUUUUUUUGGCUCAGACACGGGCCGAACACUAGUCUCACAUAUAAGGUCUAUGGGCAAGGGUGAUCAGGUUUAUUGCCUUAAGAGGCUUCGAUCAAAAAUUCAUACUCGUCUCAAUUCCUCUCAUGCUAAAUCCACAAUUAUUUCUCUUGUUUUUAGUUCUUUUUUCCUAUCGUCUUCUUCCCUAUCAUCUUCCUUGUGCAUAUCUCGAAAGGCUAUGCUCUACUAAAUAAACAAACUCAACCUCAUCAGUGAUCGACGUAUUCGAGCAUUGAAUGGAACGUCACCGUUUUCUGGCUUCGGUCACCUGGAGCACCACCAUCGUCCAUUAACCGUCAUGCAUAAGCCGAGAUUUGCAGAAAGACACGCAGGAUAUGACGGGAAGAACUGGACCUUAUCCAGAGCGAGAUUCACCAAGCUAAUCAACGUAUGGGGCAAAGAUUUCGAGCCACGAUUCCCGCCAAGCAAAACGAACAAUCACCAUUCGGGCCGGAUAGAUGCAAAAAAAUAGCAAAAAUGGAUAGUCGGUGACAUAUUUGGAGACCACAAAGUGUACUGGAAAGGAAAGCAGAUCCGUAGUAAAUGGGGAAAAACAUUUUAAUCCACAAUGCAUAGACUAACAACCACAUCCCAUAAUCAGUAUCGUUCAACAAAAUCAAUCCGGAUGUGUCAGUUUUGCUUCCUAAUCAAUCAACAGCAUGUGGCAAGGAUCACAGAUUUGACCCACGCGUUCCAUCAAACACUUGGUGAGCAUCUCAGGAAAAAGACUCAAGGUAACACCGCACCACAAUCCAAGUACUUCUUUAUUUGCACAAAGGGUUUGAUUCACCAAGGAAAAAAAUGAUUUCAAUCCUGGUCUCUUCCCAGACAUACACCAGCGUCAACUUCAAACUAGAUCUUCACUCAAGAAAUGACCGAAAGAAAUGUUCCAAAACCAACCUUGCCGAGGUCGGAUUUUAAACCACGACUGCUGAGUAAACUCGUCCAAAGAGGUUCAGGUAAGCGUCGAUCAACGAACUUGAGAUCGAUACAUGGAGAUUGAGCGGGACUUGACAGCUUCAGAGUUUUCCCCUACAAAACAAGGCAAGGCAACGCCUCUCCCGAUACUUCACAGAAACAAGAGAUCCACGGUGAUGAGCAAUAAUCGAACGCUGGAACCGGGACUCCAAGUACGCCAGCUACCGUGAUCGGUGUCGAUGGAAGAGGCUUUGGGCAAAAGGCUCAACUCCCUUUGAUGGAAUGAAUGUGAAAACAGAGGAUAACAGAGAGUUUCUGGGCCAUGGUAAGGGAAUGGUCGCGAGUGAUGACGGAAGAUGUCCGACUGGGAAGGAAGGAGUCCGAAAAUCUCCCGGAGUGCUCUCAAAAUUUGUUUUCAUCCCUGCUUAUGGAUUUGUCCGUCCAAUCCAGCUGAUGUCUGGCUAUUUACCCUCCUCUUGUAUUCUUGAAGAUCCAGAACAUAAAAAGAGGCAGAGAGCACUUUGAUACUUUAAAGGAGUAAAAAGGGGCUGUAGGCAAGUGGAAUUUCAAAGAAAUGAAUCCCCAUCUUAACAUAUAGGCUAUAGCAUAUGUUCUUUUCUAAAAAAUAAAUAAAUAGGUAGACUCAUUUUAUUACCAUUUAAAUAUAUUGUAUUAGCCGCAACGUUUGUUUUUCUUUUGAGAGUUUUUUUUUUGGGGGGCCUCAGCCGCUCAAGGAGCGAGGCAAAAUAAGAUUACAAGCCAAGAGUCUCUGUAGCUUUUUCACGCGGGCUUUGCUUCUUAAGGAACCUGACCAAUUCCCCUCAAACAAAUUACUUUUUAAUGAUUUGAACUUUUGAGUAGAGAUCCUUAACAAACAAUGUAAAUGUGAGAUUCAAUGUGGCCAUAUUAUGUUUUUUCCGUGACACGAUUGGCUUAUAGCGGAGGGUAGUAUUGCGGCAUACCCCGUACAAUCCCCACAUCCAAUAGACGGUCCAGCUAAAGGUCCCGUAACUCCUGUACUUUCUCUUCGCUCUCACCAAGCCCACCACCCGAGGCACCCUUCAUUGGUAUGAUGAGUUACUAAUUUUUCCCUAACAAAACUAACUUGGAUCUUGAUAUUUUAUUUCUAAUGGCACAUUUCUAAAUAGCUUGGUGACUUACCAUUGAGUUUGGAUUCUAUAAAUUCCUUAAAUUAUUGGUGACAUGCUAUAGUAAAAAUGGGCCUAUGUUGGCAAGUUGCUUAAUCCAACGAUAUUUUUACUAACUUCUAUUUUAUCCAUAAUGGCAAAUUCUUUAUUUUAGUGAUAACUAACUAGUUUGUAAGCAGAUUAUGUGGGUAAGUUACUAAUUUCACUUCUAAGUUUAUGCUUUGAGUGGUAAUUUCCAUAUAUGAUCAUUUUACUUUCCACUCAAAUUGCUAAAUUCCUCACUUUGGCGUUCCCUUUGUUGCCUUUUAAAAAAUGGAACUAUGUCUGUGAGUUAUUAAUUUCAUCGGUAAAUUACUAUGUUCAGCAUUAAGUUUUUGUUUUGAGUGAUAAAUCUAUGAAAAAAUUGAUUUUUAAUAUCGCAUUUCUUGUUGAUAAAUUACCAAGAGCAUACCUGAUUAAUAGGUUGGUAAUUAUAUGAUUUCACCAACGGGAAAAUCUACGAGCCAUAUUAGGAAAUUAACCAUGCUCGAAACAUUUUUCUUGGUAGCCAGUAGGUGCAAUUAUCAUAAAAUGAUACAGAGUCCAGUUAAAAGUACUCGCUGCUCAUGACUAUUACAAAGAUACGCUAAUGCCAUUGAAAUCGAUAAACAAUAUGUAGUUAAGCAUGUUGAGCAGAACAUGAGAUUUAUUAGUGACAUCAUGAUGCGAUUGACAAGGAAAAAUCAAACAUCCCGAGAUACUUGGUGUUUACCUUCUCUUUGCAAUUAAUGGAUCCCGUAAGCAUAAAGUGGAGAUCACCCUUUGCUUGAAAUACAACACAGUAUGCCACUGCUAGAAUCUUCUUAUUCUAAUCCUUUGAAGUCACAAAAGAUAUAACCCUCGGGAAGCAACCACUUUGGUAUCUCUCUUUUAGGUAGAAUAACAUGGCAAUAUGUUUCGUGAUGAAAUGUCUAUCAUAUAUGUAGACUAUUAGAUAAUUUUUUGAAAUUAGCGCCUAAAAGGAGGAGUUUCAAUGAGUCAAGUGGGUAGUCCUACAAUUUAGAUAUAGUUAGUGAUAGCAUUACAAAGAUUUUUUUGUACUAAAUUGGUGGAGACUAGACAUGAAUUAUCGAAGAUUUUGCAACUAGAUGAACAUGUAUUAUUGAAGUUUUUCACUAGGUGAUCCUUGUAAUUCAACAGUGAACAAGAGUUCCAUAAUAAAGAGGAAUAUCCUUUGCAUUGCCUUAUAGAACCUCCACUACAUAUACAUGUAAAAUCGCUUUCUAUAUGUUUGGUUUUUUUUAUUAGCCCACCAUUCAGGAUUUUCAGCCCUUUAUAAUACAAAAACACUCAAUGCAGCCAACAUGUACACGACUCAAUAUGAGAGAGAGAGAGAGAGAGAGAGAGAGAGAGAGAGAGAGAGAGAGUAAAUCUCAAGUGGGAACCCACAAGCCAUGAUCAAUCCUUUGACAACUAAUUUAUCGCAUCAAUUUAACUAACAUAUGGAAUCUUACGUAGAGGCGGUGGAAGGUUAGGAAUCACUUCUAGUCAUCACUUAUUAGGAAGUGGUGAUUGAUUAAUCAUUUUUAAAAAAUUAGUUUGCAUGUGACAAUUCAAUGAGUCGAACUACUGAAAACUCAUUUUUCCAAUCCUUUGGGUCUUUUAAUAACCCAAUAAGCAUCAAUUUAGUGGAGAUGUCGGAGAAAUAGCUAAGGAAAUUGAGCAAUUAUGGGAGGAAUCAAUAAGUUAUGUGAGGAUGUGAUGAAGAGUCCAAAGAAAGAGGAAAGGAUAUCAAGCAAUUAUCAAAGUGAGAUUCAUAAAAAGUACAUAAUUUUAGUGUUGUUGAUCUAUCACUACAUCAUGAAGAUCAAGAACUUCAUGGAAUUGGCCUUUGAGGAUAGUCUUUUCCAACAGAGGGAGAAUGACAUUGAAAGUAUCCGAAUCUAUAUUGGAAGAUUUCAAGAUCCUCUCUUGUGAUUUCCAUAAUAGGUAUAUAAUAUGUUCUCUUGAUCCUCUCUUGUGAUUUCAGACAAAAAGAGAUUUCUAGAGUUCAUUAGUGAUCAAGGGAGUACUGUAUCCUUGGAGUGGCUUUACCAAGAUGAUGAUUUGGUUAAGGGAGACCUGGGUUAUUUAAUCUCUUCCUUGUCCUUCCUAUCCUUCGCAAUGAGGUUUUCUAACCUCACUAAGAUUAAACAAACUUUUUCCUAAUUUGUUCAUUCAACACAAUCUGACAUCAAUGGGAUCGACAAGCAUGACAAGAAAAUUGAAGGACCAAAAAGUAUGUCUCAUAUUAGGCACAGAAAGAGAAAAAUUUAAGGGACUUUUUACAUAUAUAGUACUAUAUGCACUCAUGUUAAGUGUAUGCACAAAAUUUAUAUUUGAAAAAUUGAGCAAAACCACUAAAUUAGAAGUACAUAAUCGAAAGAAAUUGUUGAUAAAAUAUGCACUACAUAAACACAUAUAGAAAAAGUUAGUGGAAAAAGAAAAACAUUUCAAGAUUUCAAUAAAAAAAACUUGUCUUUGGAUAGAAAAAGUUCAGAUUUUGAUAUUGAAACAUAAGAGAGGUCAAAUAAACUUGGCUUAGUUCGUACUCACUUAUGUACACCAAUUCACGACUUAUGAUCCGAAUUUUUAACCAACAAAUCAUUUUCAUUUAUGAGCACCAUUAAUUAUUUUGAUAGGUAGAUUAAAAAAUUAAGUAAAACAUUAGAAGAAAUAAUUUACUUCUGCAACUAGAGAAAUUAAUAAAUUAGAAUAAAAUAAAACUUGAUUACUUUAAUUAAUCAACUAUUGCCCUUCUGCGACCUAAUUUUGUUUAAAUUUUGAGAUUUGAUGAUUUUUUUUUUGAAGGAUUUUUAUGCAAUUUUAGAAGAAGUAUAUUCGAAACCAUUUUUAUGCCUUUCCAUAAUUUAAAAAAAGAAAUUAAAAUAACAACGUAAUAUAAACUGACCUGGUCGGCCAGACCGCGAGUGCCCGAUUCGGAUCCGGCCCGGCCGACCUGGGUCACGCCUCCGGAUGGCCAGAGAAGAGCCCGCCCCCCAUUUGUCCUUUCGAAUUUUUGACAUUUCUACUUUUACUUCUUCUCCUCCCUCUCUNNNNNNNNNNNNNNNNNNNNNNNNNNNNNNNNNNNNNNNNNNNNNNNNNNNNNNNNNNNNNNNNNNNNNNNNNNNNNNNNNNNNNNNNNNNNNNNNNNNNNNNNNNNNNNNACCUUCCCUCUCUCUUGUUCUGUUCUCUGCGUGUGGUCGGACUAAAGUAGAGAGUCCCCACUUUUUGUACUUUAUCGAGCAAGAGACCAUAGAAAGACCCCUUUUUUUUUAAAUUCUAUAAUCUUGUUGCCCCUCCCCCUUUUGUUUCCUUUUCUUGUUCUUUUUUAUUCCCUUCUCUUCACCCCGCACGUCUCUCGCCCAUCUCCCCUCUCUCGCCCUUGCGACCUCACAGAAGCAUUCUUGCUUCAAGUUCUCCCCGAGGGCCAAGAACAACAGCGGAUGCAGACCAUUAAAAAGACUCGAGCUCUAAUCAAGAUGGUUUAGGCACGCACAGCACAAGCCGCGGCCAGUCAUCGCGCGGCGGACAUUCGUGGCCCCAAUGACUAUCGCCCCUCGUCUUCGCCGGCCGCAGAGACCGGUCAUCUGCGGAACCGUGCCCUGUAGUGAAAGAUACCGCGGAGCAAGAACGCACAACGCAAAGGACAGCGGCGGAAAUCUACCAUGAUGCUUUUGACAAACCACGAACACCAGAAACGGACGGGGAUCCACGAACAAAUGCAUACGUUUCAGUCAGGCAUUUCAUCGAACAAAUAUAGGGUGCAUCGGAGGAUGGGGGUUAGAAACCAGGCCAACGAGCCCGAGCUCAAGCCGGGAUUCAAAGCAAACGACACCCGAGACCUUGCAACCGCAGCCCGCACCUAGAUGAGGCCGGAAACUCACACGACCCGAACGACGGCGGCUUGGCAGACGGACCCGACACAGGGCACAAAAACGGGGUACGACGGGCGCUUGGGUGAAGGAGCCCUACCCGGGUCGGCGGCGUCGGACGGCGGACAAGCUCGAUCCAUCGGGCUACGUCCGUCCGCCUUGCUCGUCUCCGGGCCGGAAUCCUCGGGAAACCGGCCCCAAAUUGAAGAAAAACGAGACAAACCCGAACGGAACCUACCGCGGCUUCCACGCGAACGAGGCGUGACGGCGGCCGGCGACUCUCCCCUACCAUCCACUCUCACUCGCGACUCUCUCUCGCGGAUCUCUCUCGAAUCUCGCUCGGUUUUUUUCUCUGAAAAGCUCCCCCUCUUUCUCGACCUUCCCCCUUAUCCCGAUUUUCUCUCUUCCACCCCCUCUUUCAACUGGGCUCGCCGCCCUCUAUUUAUAGGUGAGGAGGCCGGUCGACGGAGUUGUUCGGAAAAUAAAAUAAAAGUAAAACUUAAUUGAUGCAAAUAAUAUUAAUGUCCAUAUGAUGUGAAAAUCCUUUUUUGUUAGGGCUGAAUUGAUUUCUAACUUUUUGUGCAAUUUAAACUUAAAUAUUUAGCCAAAAUUUAAGUGUGAACUAAUAAAUAUAUAAAGUCAAAGAAUAAGAGAGCAAUAUCAGUGUCUAUACCACCAAAUCUUACCAUCCCUAGACAAAUAAUUGACAUAAUUACAAAGGCAUUCUGCUGCAUUUUUCAGUAUCAUCACAAGACUUUUGUAUAACAAUAUCAAUGUCCAUCAAAUGAAUCAAGUCAUGUAUAUGUAGUGUCCUUCAUCUUCAAUUGUCAAGGACUUGUCAACAAGAACUUCUACUCCUAAAGUUGCAACUGCCAAGAACUUCCAUAAUGUAUUUUGUAGAUCUUGCCAUGUCCUUCGCUUCUCAUGGUUUUUGCAGUUUGCAUCUUUUUGGGCACUCGUGACUAUUGCUUGCUCUUCGAUCUCCGAACAAUUUCGAAAGUUUCAAUUGCUGCGAUAAUCUGUUUGUUGCGGCGAGGCCUCUGAAAUUGAGCUUUCGUGGAGGUAUUUUUGGCUAAGUUCUUGGUUGGAGUAUUCGUCGGUGGUUGUUUUCAGAAUCUGAGGGGACAAGAAUGUGGUAUGCGUUGAUGAACAGGUCAAAAAGCAGGGGAAGCAAGCGGAUAACACGCAGUUCCGAGCUCAGCUUGAUGCUCUGGGCCUGAAAAUUGUCCAGGUGACUGCAGAUGGUAAUUGCUUUUUCAGGUCCCUGUUCCUUGUUAGAAAAAGAUCACCGUAUUGUUCAUGAUUUUGUUGAAUGUUUCCAGGGUUUGAUUUGUUUUGUUAGAUGACAGUAUUCCUCUCUGUUGUGGUAGAUUUAUGGUAUGCUUAUUGCAUUACCGCUCUGUCGUGAGAACACAACACAGUGCAUUUUAUGGUACACUGGUUCUGGAACACCAUCAUCGAUGCACUAGAAAUUCCUCUGUUGGAAAGACGAUUGCUUUUCGUACAAGGUAUCAUUCUACUUGAGACCCUGCAUCUGGAAAUAUAUCUCAAAGAAGAGCUCUAUUUGCCAGGGAAUGUAGCUCUUUUAACUUAGUCUCGAGGAUAUUAAAUUGACUCUUCCGAUAUCCAAGUAAGUAACUUUGUAAAAUUCUAUCACUAUUGUAUCACUAUUGCACAACGCCUAGAGAAACAAACCAUGUUCCUCAACCCUGUUUUCAUUCAGCGUAUUUGAAUUAUCCAUCCUCCAGGUAAUCUGACGGCCUUGAAUGGAGCUUUUGUCUAUAGAAAUGCCUUUGCUAUUGUUGGAAUUUUCAUAGUUGUCCACCCUUGUUAAUCAGGGCCCUUGCAGGUCGGUUGAAAGGCAAUGAAGAUGAACAUGGAAAGUACCGGAGUAUGGUUGUCCAGUACAUAUUGGUAUGUGGAGUGCAGAUUUCUCUUUUUCAAGCAGUAGGAAUUAUGUUCGCAGGGGUUUUUUUACAUGGAGAUGUUGUCCUCAUUUGUAUUAGUGCUCAGUGAUCCGAAUCUGAACUUUAUUUGGUGCAUUUUGUUCUUGUACUUUUUCUGUAAGUAUUGAUGGAUCUCACACUUAUAUAGACACUGAUAUAGCAUGCCUUUGGAAGAAAAAACCAAGUUAAAAUGUGUAUUAUACGUUGAAGCAUACAUUUCUGCUGCCAAUGGUUAUUCCUGGUGAUAUUCGGCUCACAUUCAAAGUUGCAUAGAGUUAUACCAACACAAGGAUCACCUGAGCAAUUUGACAUUCUUAUUUUACUAGAGAGGAAAACCUUUUGAGUGUUAACUGUGAUUUGGAUGGUGUAUCUGGGCCUAAACUGACUGGUGCAGGAGGAAGCUGGACUUUAUAGUUACCGCAUUGUUCUAGCCUACAGGAACGUGCGGUUGCCACUUUAGGGUGCCAAUAUUAUGCAAACCGACAUAUUUUUGGAGGAGAUAUUGAGAAAAUAAAAAAUUAGAGAAUUGAUACUGAUGUUAACUUUUUAGCAUGCAUGAUAAAACUUUAAUGUUUUGCAAUGGCACAAAUAGGCAGUUUUGCUUGUUUCAAGUUUCAAGAGAACCCUUUAUUUUCUUUGGUUUUUUCUCAUAGUGACAUGUUUAAGGAAAUAAAAUCCUUGUUUGAAGAAUGGACCUGAUAUGUGCAUCUAAGAUGGGAAUUGUUAAUGACAGAAAAAUCGUGAAAUGUUUGACCCAUUUAUUGAGGAUGAUGCGCCAUUUGAGGAUUAUUGCAAAACCAUGGGAAAUGAUGGCACGUGGGCUGGUCAUAUGGAAUUGCAAGCAGCUUCUCUUGUUACACGGAGUAACAUUUGCAUUCAUCGGGUAAGACUGACGAUGAAGUCAUCAACCCUCGCCUACGUGAAGUUUUGCUGGUUACGGUCUUUUCAUUCCUUCCGGAGAAACAUCCAGACUAAAUGAGGAUGUCAUUAGACUCGUCAAUUGUUAGCCUUGCUACUGGAUUUGAAGUUUCGCUGUUUAAGCAUGCAUCCUAGAAUUCGAUGACCAUUGAAGAACCCAUGAUUAUUGGUUUCCAGACUCAUUCUCCACUUAAUCAUAUAACGGCUUUCUUCCCCAGUAUGGCUCUCCUUUAUCUGAGAAGUUAUUCCCCCAUCAUUGUUUAGAUUGGUUACCCCAAGCCAGCCUGGUCCGAGCCAAGGCGAACCUUGACGUGCUGUUUCGUGGAUUGGUUACCACCCUCCAGCACCUACGGACCCCCAAAUUCCUAGAGGAAGCUUUUCUUCCCCCUCUAGGCGGGAAUACACCAGAGUAGCAGGGACUCCCACCCCAGGGCGGAAACUUGGGCUCGGGGGAGGUUCGGCCCACCCCCCAGGGGUUCUUUCCCCUGGGGUUGUCUUCAUCACCCUCCCGGGCUUGUUCCUUGAGUUUUUGUGGGGAACCCUAAAGAUUAAAACCCCAUCCAGGGGCCCACUUCCUCCCCGAAGGGAGGCAGCAUGCCUGAUGGCUGAAGCCUUUUAAGGUCAUGCUCAGGACCUUACUUGGGCUCGGGGGGAGGCUUGGCCCACCCCCCAAGGGUUCUUUCCCCUGGGGUUGUCUUCAUUGCCCUCCAGGGCUUGUUCCUUGAGUUUUUGUGGGGAACCCUAAAUAUUAAAACCCCGUCCAGGGGCCCACUUCCCCCCCUAAGGGGGGCAGCCUGCCUGAUGCCUGAAGCCUUUUAAGGUCAUGCUCAAGACCAAGAUCAAUAGACCACUUACGAUGUUGUUCUCAUAAUGGUUAUAGCUUGUUCUUUUCUGUCUGGUUAUAAUUUGUUACUCUUUAGACUGAAAAAUUGACUCAUCUGAAGCGCAAUGAUAUCCGGCAUGUCUCGCAAAGUCUAUUGUGGCGAAAGCAUGUGGAAGGACCAUUGAUGGUGAUGUGCAAAAGAUUUUUCAGAGAUAUAUUGCACCUUUUAGCACAAGGAGUUCCGAGGGUGCAUAUAAUCCUAAUUCAAAGAAGACUUAAUCUAUCGAACUUGUUACAAAAUUGCUGACGCCAAAUGGGACAAUUUAUCUCACUCCUUACUUGAUGCAGAACAUGUCACCUCGGUGGUACAUAUGCAAUUUUGAUCAGCCUGGUGCUCGUAUGAUCCAUUUGUGAGUUUUCUGAAUAUAGAGACUGAUGCUUUUUUUGCUAAGCAAGUGCUCAAAUACUGGGAUGAGAUCUAUCGCUUUUUUGUAUACACUUAAAUAAAUGACUUAUUCUUACGUUUUACUUUCCCUCAAAAGAUUUGAAAAUAAAACAAUGUUUUUAUUUUUUAAGUGAUUAUGAAAAGAUUAUAUAUUUCUCCUGGUCAAGUUUGUUUAUUUUUAAAAGGUUUUAGGUGUUUUGAGUUUCAUAAAAGUCAAAUUGCAAGAGCUGCAAGAUCUUUUUUUUUUAAAAACGAAAGCUAUAAGUACAAGUCGUCCAAACAAACCAGCUCAUUACACGAAAGAAGGCAUUGCAGCUUGUUCAGGGAGACUGCUGAUUUGUGAAAUUAUUAUGGCAUGCAAGGACAACAUCUCAUAAGUUGCAGAUCCGAGUGUAGUUGCGGUGUUGUUAGGUUUAACCAUGGAAGUUCUUUUGCUAGUUUGAGAGACAUUUUGGUGUGGUCGGAGGGGGAUAAAUUACUGGCUAAGCAUAUGUGGUAGGAGACCGAAAUGUGACUUUAGCUUUUGUUUCUUCGAUAAAUUAUUUUAUUGAAAUUCCCAUUCAUAAUCCUUCAAUGAAUGGCAUCCCUGGAUAUUCUAAGUCAAGAUGGAUUGGAUCUGUCUAGGUAGCCAUCGUGACCUUGGAUUAUCACGAGGAUCAUGAAAUUUAGUGGAUAUAUGAUAUUCCAUACUUUACUAUCUUUGAUAAGUGUGCGUUGUGCCAUUAUUGUUUUGUGGAUAGGGAAAAUCUUAUGUUCUUUUUGUACUGAUGGUGUUUCAUUAUUUGAACUUAUAUAUUUUGCUUUGCUUUAUUAGAUCUUAUCAUGAUGAGGAACAUUACAACAGUGUGAGGUUGAAGGAAGACACUGGAGAUGGGCCAGCUAGGCCAAUUAGAAUCAAGUUUGCUACUGGAAUUUAAUUCUAAUUUACUAAGUUAGUAGGGAAGUUGGACAAAUUGUGAAUUUAGGUAUGUGAUUUGAUAAUUUCUUUCGCUGAAAGGCCGAUUCUAAUCUCUCGUCAUCGUCUCGCCAAGCAAAAGCUGGGUCAAAGAAGUCUAAAUCAGGAGCUGGUAAGGAUAUUACUGAUGCUGGAUCCAUCAAGCUAGUCAUGGCUGGAAGUGGUUGUGAGAACAUUGAGAAAGUUGAGCAGGUUAUGUCCUCGCUUCUUCUGCUCGCUUGUUUGCAUUAAAUGCUUUCCUCUCAUUUGCUGGGUGUCUAGAAUUAGAAUACAAGACCUUUCUGCGGCUUCUAUGUGACAUACGAUACUUUUAGAGACAUUGCUGCAAAUGUAUGGGGAUGUUGAUGCUGCCAUAGAGUAUUUGAUAGCAGAAAAAGGUAUUGAAGAUUUUUCAGAGGAAGCUCUCCGGUCUCCCUGCGAUGCAGAUGCUUCUCAUGGUAAUGGCUGGUCAAUAUUUAUCUCUCUAGAUUUUCUUUAAUAAUUUAACUUCGCAGUUUCAGAGAUACCAUGUUGAGCUUCACGAGGAGCUUGUUUGGAGUCAUUUUGAUGCAACUGGUAGAAUUAGCGUGCUUUGUCUUGUCAACCAUAGAUUUUUGGGGUAGGCAAACGUGUUACACCCAAAACUAUUUCAUAAUUCUUUGUGGUGUUUAGGUGAUGAUGCCAGUGGAAAUUCUGAGGAACAGAGAGAGGAACCUGUGGAAGAGGCCAAUAAAGAAAAUCCACCUAGCAAUAGUGCUAAACGGGCUCAUGAUGAUGGCAGUGCCCAGCGAGAAGACAAGGUUUCCACAAAAGAUGACUAUGUUGCCUCUUUUACCAUUUUGGUUUAAGCUCAAACGUGAGAACUGUUGGUGACGCACUCCUUUUUUUAUUUGCUUGUUUUAUCUUGAAAUGCAGAAAAUUCCAAGAAACAAGAAUUGUCCAUGUGGUUCAAAAAAGAAAUACAAGUCCUGUUGCGGGUCAGGGACAGGGAAAGUCUCUGCAAUUUCCAAGUAUUUCUCGUUCUCUCAGUGCUUUAUAUGUCAAGUUAUAGUUUAAGCUUGUCUUUUGUUGGAGUACCUUUCCUGUUUCCGUGUGAUUGGAGUUUAUAAGUAUCUUGAAAUUAUGGCUUAUGUAUCCAACAUUGUAUCGUAAUUAACUUCAAGUCUGGACUAUUUUCUCACUCCUAUGCUUUGUCGAAUAAUGGGUUCACUUUGGAAAAAUGUUCAUACAUGAGCAAUAUAAAUUUGUACUUACAAGAACAAAGACAGCACUGAAGAUUUCUCCUUUUUUAUGUCUAAAUGUUGUUUUGCAGUAAUCAAGCUCUUGAAUCCAGAAAAGGUAGAAAGGAAAAGAAGCGAGGCAAGAGAGGGUCUGACGCAUCUGCACUUUCCAGUGGAUCUGAUGGAGGGCCACCUGAUGUGGGGGCUCUUUGUAUCUGAUCUUUUGUUGAAGUAUGUGCAGCGUCAUCUAUUGAAUUUCAGAUAUCAGUAUGCUGUCUUUCAAAUAUUUGAUUAGACACAAUUUUUUUUCUACUUCCAUUAGCAUGAAUUUGAUGCAUGCGUCUCUUUUUUGAUCUUUGGGAUAAGUGCACUUUCUAGUUUUCCACCUGUUGCCAACUUUAGAAAGAUCUAUAGGUACGAAAUUUUCAAUGGUGUUACUUUUCUUGGAUAGUUUGCCAGUUUGAUGCAUUUUAUACUGGCAAUUGUAAUUUUGAAGAUUCUUUGUACACAUAACUGUUGCACAUGCACAUAACACCUACCUUGGUAGAUUUGCUGGCAUUGGCAUAGGUGAGUUUGGAGAGAAGUCAAAGGGCGAAGGAGAUAAGGAAAUUCAGUUAUUGCUGUCCUUGGGUUAAACCUUUUCAUGAAUAUAUAAGAGACAUCACAUGAAUUUGACAAGUGAUGGUUUAAUUUCUAAUAUCGCUUCCAAAGUGAUGGUUUUGUUGUAACUGUAGUUUGGGGUUCCCAUGAAGAUGUCAUUCUUUUUCCUUUUAUUUCUUUGACAAAAAAGGCACUAAGCAUUUAUGCACACCACUUCUUAUAAUUGAUAAAAGACGGGUAAGAUCCAAAAUGCACUUAAGUUCCAUCUAUAAGAACCCAAAUACAAUCCAUCUGCAGUUGGAGAUGACACAUAUAGUACAUAUGCUAGUUCUUCCAUUCAAAUUGGUGCAGAUUUCUAAAAUUAAACAACUUUGAUUGACAAUUACCUUUGGUUAUUUUGGCAAAAAAGCAGUAUAGCUCUUUUGUUGGUUUUCAUUAGUUGAUAUAUCAUCAUAACAUCAUUUAGACGAAUCAAGUCUCCAAAGCUCCCAAGUGAUGGAUGGUGUGUAAAGACUAUGAGCACCUGCGAAGUUUUAGUAGUAGAUUUUCCAAUAAUCCCAUAAUAAUCCUGAAUUUUUUCUUAUUGUUUUUGUGGAAUAGCAUUGUGUCAGAUUGGACUUGUCCAGUUCUCAAGAAUCACAACAAUCUUGCGGCUUCGUCAUUGCAUCCAUGAGGAAGUGGGGAGAGAGUCGAAUUGUGAGCAGGAAACUGAUGCUGAAAGAAGUCUAUAACUUGAGCUUCUUUCCAAAGCAACUUAAGGUUACUCAUUAUUUUUUCUUGGCUUGCCUCAAAUAUUAAUCUUUUCAUUCUCUAUUAGCUGCAACAUAGAGCGCAUGUUAGUCUGAGGUUAGCUUCUGUCUUCAAAGGCUGGUACCUUAUUAGUCUUGUAUACUACCUUAUCCCAAAAUGGGGAAAUAAAAGAUCCUUACUUCAUCUAACAGCUUAAUUGAACCUUGCAUGGUGAUGCUGCUCUAAUAACACAGGGAGUUAAGCGAUUUUUUAAGCUAAUAAAACUCUCUGUAGAUUCAUUAAUUCCAUGUAAGAAGUCAAAAACACAUGAUACAUUGCGAGAUUGAAAGGUGAGCCUUGGGAGGCCCAUUUUCAUUCAAAUGGUGAUCCAACAUAUGGGAGGGCAUAAUUGUCCACUGAUAUGGGAAAAUGUAGACACCCCGAGAACUUCAAUGCGAUAAAAGCGUCUUCGGCUUGGCCUAUGCCGUGAUGUUCUGUGGAUGUCUAGGCCGGUAAGUGGACUUUUCCCAUCGUGCACCAUUGUUGAACGAGAUUGGUCAACCUGCUUAUUCAUUGUCCUUGAAAAGGUGGUCUGUAAAAGCCAGGAGACGACACCUAGAUCCCUUCCAUGAGAUAAGUGUACCUAGCUAUUAAUUAAGUGUCUAGGAUAAUAGACUUUUUUAUAAAAAUACUUAGAUAAGGUUCUGAUUUAAAAUAAUCGAUAUAGUUGUUAGCCAUGUGUUUAAGGUCUAUCUUAUGGUUAUGUUCAACCAUUUUGUAUUAUGAAUUGAGAAUUUUAAUAGGAAAUACAUGAUGCGUUGUUUUCAAAUCUUUGGUCCAUUGAUUUUGUAGAAUGGCUCCGCCGGGGUAAUUCUAAUCAGAGUAAAGAAGGGCCAGUACUAGAUUAAGGAUAGUUUACUUGGAAAACAUAUAUAUACACAUUAUAUAGAAUCACCACAAAAAAGAGGUGUGUCAGUACAAGGGACAAUGUCAUGAUGUUAUACGAUGCGGUAGGAACGUGUGGUGUGGCAAGCAAAUCGAUUUCAAAAUUUAAGCGUCAAGUAAGAGGACCGGCAUUUUAUAUGAUCAAUUUAAUUAGCUAGUCACAUCACAUUAGUCGUUAGCGAUUUGACUACUGAAUAAAAUAAUUUUCUCAAACAAGGAGGUGGCCCCUCGCAAAGUUUUCAAAUGCUAGAAUUCCCAAGCUUGCGAGAACUUUAGGAAACCUACUCCCUUUGAAGAAAUGCUAUUUAUCAUCACCUAAAGUUGCAAGGACUCUCUAGCAAGUACCGCUAUUGAUAUGCACUUUGUAGUUACUAAAGAUCCAUACCGUCACUUAUGGGUUUGAUGAAGGAAUUUACCAUGCUAUUGGAUAAUUCCUAAGUGAUAGGAUCAUCAAGAGAUAAACUCUGCAAUCAAAUUGCUAACCUCAAAAGAAAGAUACUAACUAGAGAUGUAGUGAUGAUAAUGAGGAGUUCAUGGGACUUAUGACUAUAGGAAAAAUACUUACGAUGUACAAAUAUUAUCAUUUACAAAUAAAGAGGAGAAAUACUAUAUCAAUGGAGAAUUGAAUAAUGAUGACGCUCACAAAUUAGCAAUAACGAAAGGGAUGUUCGUGAUAAAAAGUUAUACUGCAAAGUUUUUUUUUUUUUUUUGGUAAAAAUUAUACUGCAAAGUUAAUAACCAUAUUUUGAGGAUUUUGGGUGAUUUACACUUGUUCUAGAAUAUUUACCGAGAAAUUUUUUUAUUUAUUACGACCAUUUGAUGAAAUUUACUUUAUUAAUUUAAGUUUACUAACGACUAACAUUAACAUAAGGGCAUAACAAAGAUUAUUUUUUGGCAAUGAGCAAAGUUUAACAUACUGCUAUAAGGGAUAUGUAUAGAAACGCAUUAGUUCCGCAAACCUUUUUGCUUCAUCUAUAAACUGUAUAAAAAAAAAUUGAAAUUACCCUAGUAAAGGGAAACAAUGCUUGGAGAGAUGAAAUAUGAAUACAAUUUGUUUAUAACUAAGUACUCUAGAAGUCAUAAAAUUUGUUGCGAAAGUAUAAUCAAGUUUUAAGACUUUCAAAAAGUGAAAUGAAGUCUUAAAAUCUAUCCCAUCAAUACAAUUAAGUAUUUUUGUUAGCUCCACCAAAUCUGAGUAACGAAAAAUAUUGACAUGUCAUUUGUUGAUAUGAUUUGACUACACAUGCCAAAGAUAUUUGAGCCAAACAUGAAGCCACGUUCUAGUGAAUUGAAGUAUCUUGUGUGCCAAGUCACCCUCUCUCCAUUUUCCAAAUCUAACAUUAGAGAUUGAAGUGAAUUCAACAACAAACAUAAACGUCCCGAGGUAUCAGGAAACGUAUGCCAACCCCCAGUUUGUUGCGCUACCUUAAUGAUUGCUUCUUUCAGAGCUGCAUGCCAGCACCAUUACACUCAUCUCUUCCCAUUUAAUCUGUUUCGCUGUCACUGUCUAUGCCGUACCUGUACCUGUACCAAGAUGAGUACGGGAACAAGUAUGGGAACAGGCACUCAUACUCAUAUUCCAUUUGCAUGGCUUUCAUUCGCUCCCCAUGGCGUGGGAGAAAUUUGUAGAAGAAUUCUUUGAGCUUCAUUUCAUAGAUUGAAGCUGAAUUCACCAAUUGCUUGUCUUCGAGCACAACUUUCAAAUCACCUUCCAUUUGCUUGCAUUUUAGGACAUAUCCCAAUUUUUUUAUGAUUCCACCUGAUACACUGAGUGUGAGGCUAAAUCGUAAGCACUCCUCGUCAAAUUCAAGAAAAUCAACAGCUCCCCCCAACACUCCCCAUAGCACAUUCGGUUUGAGAUAUUGAAUCCACAUGUGAUUCGAAUUAAAUGAACCGAGAGAUCCUGAUAGCCCACUCUGUCUUUGGCCGUUAAGAUGGGGCACGAUGUCGAAAAAUAUUUCCAUUUCUCCAUCUUCUACAGUGAAAACAACACAGAGAGCUAAUCCCAAGAACUUAUCAUAAAAUUCUUGUGAAACAAUGAAAGAUAUGGUACUGCCUUCAACAAUGACGAACUCCUCUAGCAUAUCUCCUCCAGGAAGAAUAUCCAUGUAGUGAGGAGCAAUUUGAGAAUAGCGCCACUUCUGUUAUACUAGUAAAUUGUUAGACAUACUAAAGUUGAUAAUUAGUUAAAAUAGAAGAGUUUGAUUUGAGAAUUUUUCUAGUAAUUUAACCAAAGCUAGAGUUUUUGUAAUAAUUAAACAUAUCGAUCUUUCCUUGCCUUAUAUGUAAUACUCAUGAAAUCAAUCACUUCACUUGCGAGUAUUGUCGUAGCACACGGUGCAAAAUCACUCUCCAUUAGAUUUGCUUAUUUGUAUAGAAUUUUCAGUUUUUGCGUUAUACAAACCCAGUGUGCCUGACGUACACUCCAACAACAAAUCAACACAUGCACUUAUGAAUCCGCACGUAUCCCCGGGGGCUGGAGAGAGAGAGAGAGAGAGAGAGAGAGAGAGAGAGAGAGAGAGAGAGAGAGAGAGAGAGAGAGAGAGAGAGAGAGAGAGAGAGACCUCAACUGAUAAGUCAGACCAUGACAUGUCACCCAAGAUUUCCUCGUCCGUUUCUCUUUCACUUGUACAGUUUGCCUCUGACCGUGAUUGGUGAUUAUCUUCAUUGAGGGGACAACUGCUAUUACAUAUAGGUGCAAAAUCACAAUAUAUGAGCUUGUUUUGUUCACUAGCAUUAGCAGUUUUGCAUUAUGAAAACACAAAGAGAGAGAGAGAGAGAGAGAGAGAGAGAGAGAGAGAGAGAGAGAGAGAGAGACCUCAACUGAAAAGUCAGCCAUGAUAUCUGCGGGUGGGGGGUCAUCCAUAUCGUCGCCUUCUUUUGAGCUUGUUUGGUAGUUGUCUUCAUGAUUUAUCCCCCGCUAUUACAUAUAGGUGCAAAAUCAAAAUAUAUUAGCUUGUUUUGUUUACUAGCAUUUGCAGUUUUGCAUUAUAAAACACAAAGCACCCAUAUCAAUCACACACACACACACACCACAAUCGCAGAGGGGGGGAAGGGAGGGAGGGAGAGACCUUUUCCAGAUCUGAGAGAUCAGCCGAAAUUUCUUCCUCUCUAGUCGUUUCUUCAUCGUGAUGCCAAAUCUCAUAAAACAAACUUGGAUCUAGCAACUUGUCAUCUUGAUUUAAAGCCUUCAACUCGUCCUCUAGUGACUUGCAUAUUAAUCGAAAUCCGCACUUUUUUACAAUUACACCAUCUGGUGCUUUGAUGCCUAACUGGAAAGAACUUGAGUCAUUUCGAUCAAAGGGGUCUUCUCCCCAUAAGUUCCUCACUGCAUACAACCGUAAUAACACAUGUUCCGAAUGCACUAUGGGGAACUCCAGGCCAUGGGACAUACCAUGGCAUCUGCCAUUAGUGUAUAAACUGAGCUUAGUAUCCUUUCGUUUCCCUUUCUUUACUCGAAAUACAAGACAUAUAGCUAAUUUUAGAAACUUUUCAUACAAAUCCUUCGAAGCUGUGAAAGAUAUAUAACCCUCCUUAUUUGGGAGUAACCAUUGCGGCAUCUCUCCUCCAGGUAGAAUAGUUUCCCAAUGCAAUCUAUCAUAACCUAAUAAAUGACAAAGCGAUUCCCAAGCUCGCUGUCAUAAAAGUAAAUUGUUAAGAUAUUAUUUCGAAUUUGACACUUGAGAAAGAGGAGUUUCAAUUAGUUAAAUUUAGCUACAAUUAGCUAUAUAUAUACACGACUCCGUAUUAAUCAGAGAGGGGGGGAGGGAGGGAUGGAGGGAGAGUCUAACCUCUCUACGGACUGAAUCACGAAAUAAUCGGUUAAUGGACAAUAUGUCGGAGGGAGUUUUGCUUAGAGAUUCACAAUUCCUUGCCUUCAUUUCAAGCAAUAGACUUGAAACCUCGCCAAUCUCUUGUAGUUGUUGGCAUUCCGAAACAUUCAAUUGAAGUAAAUUAUGUAGGUGCCCGCACGGUGGAAGCUUAGCAAAAUUAUUUUCGGACAAAUCCAAUUUUUUCAAGGAUGGAAAACAUGAAUGAUUCUCUAGGAACUCUACUUCUUGUAGAUUGCAUCCGCUAAGGUCUAACCAUUCUAGCUUGGGAAAUCCUGUCUUGCUACGCAGAUCACUCGAAUCCUCCUCCUCCUUUGGAAACUUGAUUAGUUUUGAACAACCAUAAAACCACAAGCCCUUAAGAUUUGGCAACUUGUAAAUGCUAGAUGGGAGGUUUGCCAAUUUCUUGCAAAGCCACAAACUCAAAAUCUCCAAAGAGACAAGAUUUUCUAUGGAUGCAGGAAGUUCCUCAAUUGAAGUCUUAUCUAACAAAAGUAGCUGCAAGCAUUUCAUUUUAUCCGGAAUAUCGGGGAAUCUUCGCAACUUUGAGCAACCACGAAGAUCGAGAAAUUGAAGAUUCUUGGGUUGGAGUAUAUCAGAGAGAUGAUGAAGGUUAGAGCAACCAUUUAGAUUCAACUCCCUCAACUUGGCGUGAUAUGCAAUUGAUUCGUGAGCACGCUCCAAAUUUUUGCACCCUUUGAGAACCAAUUCCUCGAGAUUUGGACAAAAAUCGAGGUUUGGCAUACAAACCAUGGACAGACAUUCACUGAAGUAAAGGAACUUCAAAUUUUUAAAGUCCUGCAAGAAAUAUCCACAUGGAAAGAAAAUGAAGAUAAAAAUAUUUAAUGAAAAACACUUGAUCAUCAUUCAAGACCCGUGUGAUCGGAAAUUAGUUGAUCAUGUGGUGUAUACAGAGCACUCCCACUCCCUUUUUUAAAUAUGAGUUUAUUAAGCGAUCCUUGGCCAAAAGAGAAGAUUAAAAAAAGAAUAAUACUCGUAAUUUCACCACACACUAAGCUCUAUCAAGCAACACACAAGAGAAAUCAUCCCAAUGCCAAGUAGCAUGGCCACUUCUACUAUGUAUAUGUUUAGAACCAAUACAUGCAAUUCAGAGAGAGAGAGUGUGACCUCAAGUGGGAGCUCAUGAGCCGUGGUCAAAUCCUUUGCCAGCUAAUUCAUGACAUGAAUUUAAGCUAACAUAGGUGGCACUUGAUGGACCUACAAUCUUAUGCAGAGAUAUGCAAACCUGACAUAAUGGCAGUGGAAGCUUGGGAAUCUCUCGUGUCAUCACUUAUUAGGUCAUGGUGCUUGGUUGAUCGAUUUUUGAGAAUCACACAUUUUGUUGAACGUAGUAGACCCUUGAUCCUUUAUAUGUUGCUGAACUUUAUAUUAGUGAAAUUGUGCCCCCACAUGGUAUUCCAAAGACAACUCCUUACGUUGUGUAGUGAAUGCAUCUUUUAAGUUUUGGAUCUUACACCAUUAUCCAGAACUAAUAUGGAGAAAAAGCUAAGACAAUCAAUAAGUUACAUGAGGAAGUGAGGAAGAGAAGUCCGAAGCAAAAUGUCAAAUAUCCCAAUCAAGCCAAAAA
rnacentral:lncRNA from 1 species